rnacentral:tRNA from 1 species
GAUAAAGUGGCUGAAUUUUAGGUAAUAAAUUGUAAAUUUAUUUAUGGUUAUUUAACCCUUUAUCA